rnacentral:tRNA from 1 species
GGUGGGGUACCCAAGUGGCCAACGGGAGCAGACUGUAAAUCUGCCGGCGCAAGCCUUCGAAGGUUCGAAUCCUUCCCCCACCA